UACGGAGGGUGCGAGCGUUGUCCGGAAUCAUUGGGCGUAAAGGGCGCGUAGGUGGCCCGGUCAGUUCGUGGUGAAAGCGCGGGGCUCAACCCUGCGUCGGCCAUGAAUACUGCCGCGGCUGGAGCACUGUAGAGGCAGGCGGAAUUCCGGGUGUAGCGGUGGAAUGCGUAGAGAUCCGGAAGAACACCCGUGGCUAAGGCGGCUCUCUAGUACGGUACUGACGCUGAGACGCGAAAGCGUGGGGAGCGAACAGG
rnacentral:rRNA from 1 species